rnacentral:lncRNA from 12 species
UGAUUCGUUGUUCUACUUUAUAAACAAAAAUUGCAUUUCUAAAUUUUAGUUUUUGUUAAUAAUGAAUCACUUGCAGCACACCUCGCAGGGGAUUGCAACAUAUUGGCGCGUCCCAGGCAGCAGAUGAAAACUUCUGCCCUGAGCCAUGGGGAGCCCCUGGAGUGCUUUCAACAGAAAAGAGGCAGCUCCACAAUCUGCAUUUGAGAGACACAGCCUGGCAGCGCUGUGAAAGUUUCACCUUCCAUAAUGAGAAGAUCAAAAGCUGUACCCUGCUCAGUGGCUUGGGAUCCCUGUUUCUUUGAGGGCGGAUUGUUAAACAACACCGAAUAUGCCAAACACAUGCAUCACGGAUCCCACGCAGAGCCGCGGAAGGGUGUGAACUGAAUGAGGCAGUAUCCUGGUAAGAGCUGCAAGAGUCUCCUCUCCUCUCCAAUCUCCCAGGCAGGAACCAAUGGACACUGGGGCGAAGGUGCAUGCGAGGUGGGCAUAGCAGCUGCCCAUUGUUUUUGUCUGAAAAUUCAUGGAAUAAUGCAAUGUCUGAGUGGCCCUGUUAGAAUGCAAAGGCAUGAUUUACUCUCCAAAACAAAGCAGGUCACUAACCUGCUUGAUCUUUAUAGGGAAGACUUCUGCCCACUGGCAGUGAGACU